rnacentral:rRNA from 1 species
UACGUAGAUCCCGAGCGUUGUCCGGAUUUAUUGGGCGUAAAGCGAGCGCAGGUGGUUUAUUAAGUCUGGUGUAAAAGGCAGUGGCUCAACCAUUGUAUGCAUUGGAAACUAGUAGACUUGAGUGCAGGAGAGGAGAGUGGAAUUCCAUGUGUAGCGGUGAAAUGCGUAGAUAUAUGGAGGAACACCGGUGGCGAAAGCGGCUCUCUGGCCUGUAACUGACACUGAGGCUCGAAAGCGUGGGGAGCAAACAGG